rnacentral:lncRNA from 13 species
UCCUGCCUCUCUACUUUCCUUGAGGUAGUGGUGGGUCAAAGCCCUAACUCUUUAAUCACAGGGUUAGUCUUUGUGAUGAGCAGCCCCCAUUAUGAGGUAUCUGUUUAGCAUAGACUCAGGUGUCAGCCAAGAGACUAAGGAAUAACAAAGACAGUCCUAUUGUCAGGGUGUAGGUACAAGAAUUUAUUUUUCCUGUAUGGCGUCAGGGACAAAGGCCAGUCCAAUUCUCUCUCUCUCUAGCUGUGUGAAGCACGGAUUACACAGAAAACAGAAACUCGGGAUAAAUCAUGGUAUCUACACAGAUACAAUGAUGAAUGAAAUAAACCAGUAUCACCAGCAGAAUAAGAAUCUGUUCUGUUGCUAUCUUCAGACACACCCUAGGCUGAGAUUGACUGAUGACCAUCCCUCCAAAAAGAAGAAAAAUUAAAAAGAAAAUCAAAACAAAAUACCAACAACAACUAAACAUUUCUAUUUUGUUCCAGUAAAAAAUGCAAGAAGAUCACAAUGUUAGUAUGUAUAUCUUAACAAGAAAAUGCAGACUUUCUUUUAGUGAUAUUGCAAGUCUCUUUUUCAUUGAGGAAAAAUGUUCAGCAGCCAAGACACACCAGUUGCCACCCCACUGAGUCUUCAUUGACUUUUCUUUGCUCCUUUGCAGGCUUUACAAGACUGAAACCAAGUUGUCACCUUUGUUAUUGCUACAGAAUUUCCUAGGUUUUUUUUCUCAUCCCCAGUUAGAUGACACACAAUUCCUCAUACUGCCCAUCUGACUUGAUUCUAAAAACUCAGGCCUUUCUCAUGAAUUGCGUCACAUUGAGGUGAGCAUGUGAGAGGCCGUGUAAAGGAUUUCAGCUUCAGGAAAAGGGAAGUAAGUGGUAAAGAAGUGAUUGUAAGUGUGCAGGAAGUCAGCAGGAGGUGAAGAAGAACAUAUGCAUCUAAAAGAUAGAAAAUAUAAUGUUACUAAAUUUGAUUGGCUGGGCACAGUGGCUCACACCUGUAACCUCAGCAUUUUGGGAGUUCAAGGUAGGAGGAUCGCUUGAACCCAGGUACUUGAGAACAGCCUGGGUAAUAUAGCAAGACUUUCUGGCUACAAGAUAUAAAAGAAAUUAGUCAGGCAUGGUGGUGCACACCUGUGGUCCACAAGGAGACUGAAGUGGGAAAGAUAGCUUGAGGCCAGGACAUUGAUCGGGGUUGCAGUGAGCAGAGACCAGGCCACUGCAUUCCAGCCUGGACAGUAGAGCAAGAUCAUGUCUCAAAGAAACAAACAAAUAAAAAAACAUAUCAAAAUCUAUAUUGUAUUUUU